rnacentral:rRNA from 1 species
UACAGAGGUCCCGAGCGUUGUUCGGAAUCACUGGGCGUAAAGGGUGCGUAGGCGGGUCUUUAAGUCAGGGGUGAAAUCCUGGAGCUCAACUCCAGAACUGCCUUUGAUACUGAGGAUCUUGAGUUCGGGAGAGGUGAGUGGAACUGCGAGUGUAGAGGUGAAAUUCGUAGAUAUUCGCAAGAACACCAGUGGCGAAGGCGGCUCACUGGCCCGAUACUGACGCUGAGGCACGAAAGCGUGGGGAGCAAACAGGG